UACGUAGGGGGCGAGCGUUGUCCGGAUUCAUUGGGCGUAAAGAGCUCGUAGGCGGUUCAGUAGGUCGGGUGUGAAAUCUCCGUGCUCAACACGGAGCGGCCACCUGAUACUGCUGUGACUCGAGUCCGGUAGGGGAGUGUGGAAUUCCCGGUGUAGCGGUGAAAUGCGCAGAUAUCGGGAGGAACACCAGUGGCGAAGGCGACACGCUGGGUCACACCUGACGCUAAAGCGCGACAGCAUGGGGAGCGAACGGG
rnacentral:rRNA from 1 species